UACGAAGGGGGCUAGGCGUUGUUCGGAAUUACUGGGCGUAAAGCGCGCGCAGGCGGUCUUCCAAGUCAGUGGUGAAAGCCCGGCAGCUCAACUCCGGAACUGCCAUUGAAACUGUUAGACUUGAGGACGAGAGAGGUGAGUGGAAUUCCCAGUGUAGAGGUGAAAUUCGUAGAUAUUGGGAAGAACACCGGUGGCGAAGGCGGCUCACUGGCUCGUAGCUGACGCUCAGGCGCGACAGCGUGGGGAUCGAAACAAGG
rnacentral:rRNA from 1 species